ensembl:lncRNA
GAGACAACCAAAGCACCUUAUAUGGCUUAAAGUUCAGCUACUUCUCUUUUUAUAUCGUUGUUGUGCAUUUAUUUGUAAAUAUGUGAACUUUUUGAAAUAGAGACGGAUGCUUUCAGACAUGUUUGAGAAAAAGGAAAAUGUGGUUUGAUGUGUCAAAGCAAAAAAACACAGAUUUCACCAUCAGUUUUGCAAGAGGUUGCUUGGGUGGCUAUCAUCCAUCUUAAUUUUGUAAGGGGUGCGUGACUGGCUGCAGGGAAGUCAGGCGCAGGAGAGCAGAACUGGGUAAAACCCAAAGCAGUUUAAUAUGAAAAAAAAACAACGGCACCCAGAACAACAAAAUCUGGGUACAAAAUAACCCCUCGCGAACCAAUCAGAGUGCACAAACACUUUACAAUAAACAAUUUCACACACAGACAUGGGGGGAACAGAGGGUUAUAUACACGACAAGUAAUGAGGGAAUGUAAACCAGGUGUGUGGAAAAACAAGACAAAACAAAUGGAAAAUGAAAGGUGGAUCGGCGAUGGCUAGAAGACCGGUGACAUCGACCGCCGAACGCCGCCCGAACAAUGUGAGGAACCGACUUCGGCGGAAGUCGUGACAAUGUAUAUACUGUACUUCUUAUUUUUCUGCCAAGAAGCUGGUACACGCUGAGCAUUUCAUCAUUCUCGAAGUUGACAGAAAAAAUGUAAAGGAUACAAAUGUUUUUAAAUGUCAGAAUUUGUCAUAGAAAACAACCUCUACCUAAUGUCAGAAUUUUGUCACAGACAACAAUCUUUAUGAAAACAACCUCAAACUUUUGUCAAAUCCUGUUAGUUAGCUACAGUACUUCCUCUUUCGUGUAAUGGACAAAUCACACAUUGUGGUCUUCCUGAACAGGGAAAGCAGUCUAACAAUGUCAUCAACUGAAGCAUACACUUUUGAAGUGCACAAGUAACAGGGAAUUACAUGUUUUAGCGUGUCGUUUUCUUCGUCAUUUGACAAAGUCAGGUUUUCCAAUCAUGACUGUAAAUACACUGAACGAAAAUAUAUACUCAACAUCUAAAGUGUUGAUCCUACAGUCUGUUUCAUGAGCUGAAAUAAAAGAUCACAGAAAUGUUCCAUAUGCACAAAAAGCUUAUUUCUCUCCCAGGCCCACCCAUGCCUGUACCCCUGCCCAGUCAUGUGAAAUCCAUAGAUUAGGGCCUAAUUUAUUUAUUUCAAUUGACUGAUUUCCUUAUAUUAACUGUAACUCAGUAAAAUCUUUGAAAUUGUUGCAUGUUGCAUUUAUAUUUUUGCUCAGCAUACAUAUGAGAACACAGAGAUCCGGACUUCUGUAAUUUUAUCUAAUUUGACAAAUAAAUGAAUAACGCAAAUGUAUAUUUUGUACACAAUAAAGAGAAUAAAUGAUGGGUCAACAUCUAAAUAUUGCUUCCAGUGUUGAUCAAAACUCACUAGAGAAGAAGGCAAAACUAGAAACGCUGCUUGGCUGCUGACAGUGUGUUUGCAAGGUGCUGGACAAAAGGCCAUUUUAAAACCCUUCUCCUGCCAUGUCUACAGACAUCCCCAAACAAACAAAAACGCAGUGGUGGAAAAACUACUCAAUUGUCAUACUUGAGUAAAAGUAAAGAUACCUUAAUAGAAAAUGACUUAAGUAAAAGUGAAAGUCACCCAGUAAAAUACUACUUGAGUAAAAUUCAAAGUGUAAGGUUUUAAAUAUACUUAAGUGUUAAAAGUAAAUGUAAUUGCUAAUAUAUACUUAGUAAUCAAAGUAAAAGUAUAAAGAACUUCAAAUUCCUUAUAUUAAGCAAACCAGAUGGCCUAAUUGUAUUACCUUAUGGAUAGCCAGGGGCACACCCCAACACUCAGACAUAAUUUACAACAAAGAGUCUGUGUUUAGUGAGUCCACCAGAUCAGAUGCAGUAGAGAUGACCAGGGAUGUUCUCUUGAUAAGUGCGUGAAUUGGACCAUUUUCAUGUCCUGCUAAGCACUCAAAAUGUAACAAGUAGUUUUGGGUAUCAGGAUAAAUGUAUGGAGUAAGAAGUACAGUAUUUUCUUUAGGAAUGUAGUGAAGUAAAAGAUGUCCAAAAUAUCAAUAGUAAAGUAAAGUACAAAUACCCCAAAAACCGACUUAAGUAGUAUUUUAAAGUAUUUUUACUGAAGUACUUUACACCACUGUAAAAACGGCUCUCGGGGAAUGAGUGCACAACUGGUAAAUAGUCGCUUAUAGAUAUGUCAGUCAGGUGGCUAGCUCUAUUACAGUAAUGUUGGGCUGUGGUUAGGGAUGAAGUAAGAAGCUAACAUUAAAACAGAGCAUUCCUCAGCAGGAGAAACUAUUGGCUACUAAAUUCUCACAAUAACUUUGCAUUACAGUGAGUAGGACAGACAGUGAUGUGGUGCGAUGAGCGGUGAGGCGGAGGCAGGCUGCAAUGUAUGAGAGAGAGAGAGAGAGAGAGAGAGAGAGAGAGAGAGGGAGAGAGUGAGAGAGAGAGAGAGAGCAGAGAGAGAAAGCAGAGAGAG